CUGGUGGUGUUCGGGGACUGAGGAGCUGGCUGUUCGGGCGGAGGAAGCGUGUGUCACUGUGUGUAUCCGUGAGGGCUGCGCCCUGGGUGUAGCUCAGUGGGGUGUAAAUCCCUGAGUCUGCGACUUGAAGGCUCUUGAUGACCAGAGGAAAGGAUCCUUGGUCCCACAGGAUUUUUUUGCAUUCAAAGCGAGUUUUCAGCUUGGAGGAGCCUGGGAGCAGAAGCCACGUGGAGGAGGUUGGGGUACCCUGAAGACACGACAUCGCCGGAGAGGGCAAUGCCCACAGCCUUUCUGAUCUCAGUCGCUAAAUUUCUGCAGAAUCUGUCCCUAAUCUGAAAACCCCAGACUGGAGAGGAGGUCCCAUCAACAUUCACUUAAUUGGCCAGGACAAUGUCUCACUAAUCCAAAAUAAAACGAGACCCUAAUUUCAAGACCACCAACUCCUACAUGCCAAGUACUUUCCACGCAUCAUCACCAGUGAUCUUCACAAUGAUUCCAAGAAGUAGGUACUGUUUGGCUUGUUUUGUAGAUAAGGGAACAGAGGCUCAGACUCUUACUUUACACAUUGCUGGCAGGAACAUAAACCAGUACAAUUUCUUUGGAGGGUAAUUUAUAACAUCUACCCGAAUUAUAAAGUCACAUACAAAAAUAACUGUCCACCAGGAAAGAAUAGGUUAAGUAAAUAAUUCACCCAUUCAGUGGAAUGCUGUACAAGAAGGAAGCUCUUUCACGGUUAAGAAAGGAAUAAUAAAUAGUUAAGACACGUCAUUAACUAAAUCGAGCAAGAUAUUGAACAGGCUACCAUUUGUCUAAAAAGGAGGGAGAAAUCUGUCUAUCGAUAUCUAUUUCUCUAUCAUCUGCCUUGUAUAGGAACAAAUAUUUCUAGAAAUAAAUGUAAGAAAAUGGUAA